UGGAAGAGAGAAGUUGGCUUCAGUCCCAUCAGGUGGUGGUGCAGUCGCUGUUGCUGCACCUGCUGCUGGUGCAGGUGGCGGCGCUGCACCUGCUGCUGCUGAAACAAAGAAAGAAGAGAAAGUUGAAGAGAAAGAAGAGUCUGAUGAUGUAAGUUUUAUGUCAUAUCAAGAAAUUUACUCUCUUGAUUAUUAAUAUAAAGCUUAAUAAAAUUGGAUGAAUUAAUCUGUUGUUAUAACUGGUCUAUUUGGGUUUUCU
rnacentral:lncRNA from 1 species